rnacentral:rRNA from 1 species
UACAGAGGUCUCGAGCGUUGUUCGGAUUCAUUGGGCGUAAAGGGCUCGUAGGCGGCCAACUAAGUCGGAUGUGAAAUCCCCAGGCUUAACCUGGGAACUGCAUCCGAUACUGGAUGGCUUGAAUUCGGGAGAGGGAUGCAGAAUUCCAGGUGUAGCGGUGAAAUGCGUAGAUAUCUGGAGGAAUACCGGUGGCGAAGGCGGCAUCCUGGACCGACAUUGACGCUGAAAACCGAAAGCUAGGGGAGCAAACGGG